UACGUAGGGCGCAAGCGGUGUCCGGAAUUAUUGGGCGUAAAGAGCUCGUAGGCGGUCUGUCGCGUCCGUUGUGAAAACUCGAGGCUCAACCUCGGGCUUGCAGUGGAUACGGGCAGACUAGAGUGCGGUAGGGGAGACUGGAAUUCCUGGUGUAGCGGUGGAAUGCGCAGAUAUCAGGAGGAACACCGAUGGCGAAGGCAGGUCUCUGGGCCGCAACUGACGCUGAGGAGCGAAAGCAUGGGGAGCGAACAGG
rnacentral:rRNA from 1 species